AAAAACACCGGUUCUCGUUCGAUCACCGAAGUUAAGCAUCGUAGAGCCAGGUCAGUACUUAGAUGGGGGAG